rnacentral:rRNA from 2 species
ACUCCUACGGGAGGCAGCAGUGGGGAAUAUUGCACAAUGGGCGAAAGCCUGAUGCAGCAACGCCGCGUGAGCGAUGAAGGCCUUCGGGUCGUAAAGCUCUGUCCUCAAGGAAGAUAAUGACGGUACUUGAGGAGGAAGCCCCGGCUAACUACGUGCCAGCAGCCGCGGUAAU